UCUACUUAUACUUCUACUUAGGAAAAAUACAUAUCCAAACAUAAAUCUACAAAUACCGCAUAUACGAUCAAGAGUCGUAAAAAAAAAUUACGAUAUUGGGGAAUUGUAGGAAAGAGAUCUAAAGGAUCUUUUUCCUCAAAUUCCUCUUUGGCCUUAUUAUAUCAUCCCCCCCUCUCCCCGCCAAUUAAUAUUUUCUUUAUAUUGUUUUGUUCAUUUUUGUUCAUUCAAUUCGAAUAGCAAAUACCAAGAGUGAUAAGUUGAAUAAAAAUUCUUAUAGUAUCACAGGCGGGUGAUUAAAAAAAAAAGAAAAGAAAGAUGCUUUAUAAAAUAAUUCCCCUUUUAGUUGCUUUUAGUCAAUUCUUCAAUUCAACGAUUGACCAAAAGAGAAUAUUAAUAUAAUAAAUUGCAUGGCCGUACCUCAAUCAAAUACUGAUAUUUAGUUCUAUGCAAUGAUUCGCCCCAAUGAAUUCGUCUAUUUCGAUUGUAGCCUGGUGGAUAAUGAUA
rnacentral:lncRNA from 1 species